UACGAAGGGGGCUAGCGUUGUUCGGAAUUACUGGGCGUAAAGGGCGCGUAGGCGGCCUCACAAGUCAGGAGUGAAAUCCCUAGGCUCAACCUAGGAAUUGCUUUUGAGACUGUGGAGCUUGAGUGCAGGAGAGGUGAGUGGAAUUCCCAGUGUAGAGGUAAAAUUCGUAGAUAUUGGGAGGAACACCAGUGGCGAAGGCGGCUCACUGGCCUGUAACUGACGCUGAGGCGCGAAAGCGUGGGGAGCAAACAGG
rnacentral:rRNA from 1 species